GUUAGGAAUAUUGGACAAUGGGGGCAACCCUGAUCCAGCCAUGCCGCGUGUGUGAAGAAGGCCUUAGGGUUGUAAAGCACUUUCGGCUGUGAAGAUAAUGACAGUAGCAGAAGAAGAAGCUCCGGCUAAAUUCGUGCCAGCAGCCGCGGUAAUACGAAUGGAGCGAGCGUUGUUCGGAAUCACUGGGCGUAAAGGGUGCGCAGGCGGUCAUGAAAGUUAGAAGUGAAAGCCCCGGGCUUAACCCGGGAAUUGCUUUUAAAACUCCAUGACUAGAGUACUGGAGAGGUUGGCGGAAUUCCAAGUGUAGCAGUGAAAUGCGUAGAUAUUUGGAGGAACACCGAUGGCGUAGGCAGCCAACUGGACAGUAACUGACGCUCAUGCACGAAAGCGUGGGGAUCAAACAGGAUUAGAAACCCCUGUAGUCC
rnacentral:rRNA from 1 species